GAUUAAGUUAUUAAGGGCGCACGGUGGAUGCCUUGGCACUAGAAGCCGAUGAAGGACGUUACUAACGACGAUAUGCUUUGGGGAGCUGUAAGUAAGCUUUGAUCCAGAGAUUUCCGAAUGGGGAAACCCAGCAUGAGUUAUGUCAUGUUAUCGAUAUGUGAAUACAUAGCAUAUCAGAAGGCACACCCGGAGAACUGAAACAUCUUAGUACCCGGAGGAAGAGAAAGAAAAUUCGAUUCCCUUAGUAGCGGCGAGCGAAACGGGAAGAGCCCAAACCAACAAGCUUGCUUGUUGGGGUUGUAGGACACUCUAUACGGAGUUACAAAGGACGACAUUAGACGAAUCAUCUGGAAAGAUGAAUCAAAGAAGGUAAUAAUCCUGUAGUCGAAAAUGUUGUCUCUCUUGAGUGGAUCCUGAGUACGACGGAGCACGUGAAAUUCCGUCGGAAUCUGGGAGGACCAUCUCCUAAGGCUAAAUACUCUCUAGUGACCGAUAGUGAACCAGUACCGUGAGGGAAAGGUGAAAAGCACCCCGGAAGGGGAGUGAAAUAGAACCUGAAACCGUGUGCUUACAAGUAGUCAGAGCCCGUUAAUGGGUGAUGGCGUGCCUUUUGUAGAAUGAACCGGCGAGUUACGAUUUGAUGCAAGGUUAAGCAGUAAAUGUGGAGCCGUAGCGAAAGCGAGUCUGAAUAGGGCGUUUAGUAUUUGGUCGUAGACCCGAAACCAGGUGAUCUACCCUUGGUCAGGUUGAAGUUCAGGUAACACUGAAUGGAGGACCGAACCGACUUACGUUGAAAAGUGAGCGGAUGAACUGAGGGUAGCGGAGAAAUUCCAAUCGAACCUGGAGAUAGCUGGUUCUCUCCGAAAUAGCUUUAGGGCUAGCCUCAAGUGAUGAUUAUUGGAGGUAGAGCACUGUUUGGACGAGGGG
rnacentral:rRNA from 1 species